UGGGGGGGGGGGUGACCGAGAUAGGCUAAUGAGUCCUGCGUGGUGGCGGGUAGACCUUCAGGGCUGGUGCUUUCGGACGCGCUCUGGCCUUAGGAGAGGGGGGAGCUUUGAAACUGGCUGCCUUGGAGGCCGGUGUGGGGACAAAGUUGAAUUUUGGCGACAUGCGGGGAAAAGUGCUGGGAACCAUUCUGAGGCAGCGACUGAAGGGCUUGUUCAUACCUGAUCCAAUUCCUACAGGGAGAGUCACUUCCGUGUAAGAAUGUGUGAAUCCCCUAUGUAGAUUGGAGCAUGUGUGCAGUUUCCUGCACGCUCAUGCUUUGGGAGGCCCUGCCCAGCAAAAUGAUAAGUGUCUGAAUAUGGUCUGGUGAACUACACGUGAUUUCAAUGUGCGCCAUGCAGUAAUAAAGUGAGCCUGUUUCUCAUAAAUUUGAAGAACCUGUAUUUAAGCCAGCCUCUCAACCUGCUGUUCUCUAAAGGUGUUCCCUCUGAUCUCCAGAUACAGUCACUGGGAUUGUAAUCUAAUAUAUGUUGGAAAGAACCAGAUUGUAGGUGGCUGUCCUGGAUUGUCCUGUUCAGACGGAGUAUACAGAAAUCAAAUUGACCUCUACAAGGAGGUGUAAAAACAUUGAAGAUGGUAUCAGGAAUGGAAAAACAAGUCUUCCAAAAGAACUCUGAACUCAAAAGGAGAUUCCAACCUUGAAUUGGGAAUGAAAAUGCAUGGAAGAAAUAAUGGGAAACAUGGGAAGCUUACAUAAGGAAGAUGAUGUCAUCUAAAAUUCUAUUUUGAACAGAGCAAUUGCUUAAUAAAAUGCAAUAAAAGUG